rnacentral:rRNA from 1 species
GACGAACGCUGGCGGCGUGCCUAAUACAUGCAAGUCGAACGCAGUGGGGACGGGUGAGUAACACGUGGGUAACCUCCCAUCAGAGGGGAUAACACUUGGCAACAGGUGCUAAACCGAUACUGAUGGAUGGACCCGCGGUGCAUUAGCUGGUUGGUGAGGUAACGGCUCACCAAGGCCACGAUGCAUAGCAGACGGGAGAGGGGGAUCAGACAAACUGGGAGUGAGAAGAGGCCCAGACGCCUACGGGGGGCAGCAGCAGGGAAGCUUCGGCAAUGGACGAAAGUCUGACCGAGCAACGCCGCGGGGGUGAAGAAGGUUUUCUGAUCGUAAAACUCUGUUGUUAGAGAAGCGGUAUCUAACCAGAAAGCCACGGCUAACUACGUGCCAGCAGCCGCCGCGGUAAUUC